GUCGCCAGGGCGCAGGCUCGCGUGGGGGGCGGGCGGCUGGGCCCGCGGCCGUCGCCCUGCAGUCGCGCCGCCGCGCUCCCCGCUUCGUCCUCGGCCUCGCCGCGCCUGCUGCGCCCCGGACGGGCCGGGCCCUGGCGGAGAGCAUCUUGGAACUUUUGACUUCAUUGUUCAUUGAAAUCCCAACAAAUAUGGAGAUAAGAUUAGAAGUUUUGACUUCAACAAGUAUCAAGCAGAAAAAACCCUGGCCACGAGUCUCCUGGUUGGGACAGGAAAAUGAAGCUGUUUUUCUUUUGGAUGAUAAAUUCAUAAAUGAAAUUAAUUUGCUAUCAGGAAGGACAAAGAAGAAAAUUCCCAACCUCCAGCCUUUGUUGAAGGAUGUUAUAGUCCUAACAACGUCCAGUAAUGAUGCCUGGCUGGCUGGGGUACUCACUACAGGGGAGCUUUUCCUCUGGAACAAAGAUCAAGAUUGUUUGAAAACUAUACAAGCAACUGAAAAGCCUAAGGAAAUGAUUAAAGCUGCAGUAGCAAGCUCUUUGAGACUGUACUUGUAUGUAUCUGGCAAUGGGAAAAGAGUUCUGCUUAUAACUCCUUCUGGAUGCAUAUAUCUUUGGGAACAUUUGGAAUUCAAGAAUAUCUUAUCUUCUAAAAGCCCGUCAUUGGUGGGCCAGUGGUCCCAGAUCAUACCUGAAGAAGCAGUUCAUUUACCUUCCACUGAAGAUAAAGAAGCUGUAGUACAUGCUGUUUUUAUAAAAAAUGAGUUAUUUGGAGACUGCUGCCUGUGUUCAUUUGCUUUCUAUUCCGGGGAAUGCCUGAAGUUAACAUUUCUAGCAGUUCGGUGGCAUGAAAAUGUAUUUACACCUGUAAGAUCACUGACAUACUGUGUUCAGUGGGCACAAGAAGAUUGCCUUCUGUGCAGUCUGAUUCCUAAAUGUGAAUCAGUAAAGUCAAGAGGAGCUCUAAUUUCUGCAUUUUCAAGAGAUGGCCUCACCCUGGCAGUAACUCUUAAUCAGAAAGACCCAAAGGCCACUCAGGUAUUAUUUAUAAACCCCCUGAAUUUUGUUACUCUUUGUGGCGGCCUUAAAGGAUGUAGUAAUAAGAAUCCUGUGGUUCCAGCUACACUUAUCAGGUCCUACUGGGUAGGUGAUAUCAGCUGGACUCAUGAUAGUCUUUUUCUGGCUUGUGUGUUAAAACGUGGCUCCCUGGUUUUAUUGACCUUCCAAGGUGAAUUGCUAACAUUGAUUACAUUUGGUUGCUCCAUAGAAUUUGGGCCCGCAGAAUUUAUUCCUCUCCACCCGCUAAUAACAUACAGACCGCAGAAGUUUACACUUCAAGAUUCAAAUAAUUCUGUAGAUUCAUCAGCUUCUGAUAGUGACCCUAUGAGACAGAGAUUUUCUAUAAAAGCACACUCACGGUUACCCUACCUCAUUAUUUCUGAUGGAUACAUGGUCACAACCCUUCGAUUUCUUGAUAAUCUGUCUCCAUCAGUGCUCAUGAGAUCCCUUCUACUUGAUUCAACCCAGAGGCUUGAGAAAACAUACCAAAGUGUGGUGUUGUCUAAGCCAAAAGGCAAAGGGCUGAACUUGCGAUCACUGGAUUCCCUAAGAUCUAGCUUGUUAAAACACCACGGGAGUGAAAAUUUAGCUGAUUCUACUGUUCCCAGAUUCUUACAGGCAGAAGAAACAAUGAAGUUAAAUGAAAACAAAGCAGAUUUGCAGGAUUUUGAAGCCGAAGAAACUAACGAAGGCAAACAUUUUCCAAACAACUUCUCUUUUUGGAACCAAAAAAAUGAUCUCUUGUUUAGUAGUGCCAAGGAGGGAAGAUUGGAAUUUGCUUCUAUGAUUGAUACGAUACAUGCCGAGGAUAAUACUGAGGAGACAGAUAAAACUGUUACAGAACUGCAUUCUGUCCAGAAAAAUCUCCUGGCAGCAUGGACUAUAGGAAUUUCAAAAAAUGUGACAGAAAAAAAUUUAAUGUUAAAUUACACAGUAGUUUGUAUCACUCAUUUUUUGUACAUUCUUCAAUUUAUAAAAUGUCCUUUCCCCAAACUUGAUCUUUUUUUAAGCAAGAGCCCAAGACAUAAUGCAUGGGUACUUUGUAUCUUUCAGCUUUUUCAUCAGUGUUUAUCAAUCCAGUACUGGGAUAUGAGAUACAAACAAGAUGUAGGACAUUUGGUAAAGCUGACCUCAAAUACUGUAAAGCUUUUGCUGACACAGCAGCAACAGGAUCAGUUAUUCUCAGAGAAGCUUUUAGCCUGUUUUCAUUUACUCAGAAUGGUAGCUGAUCAUCUCAAUGGCAUAUACAGUCUUCAGCCUGAAGUUAUUUCAUCAUCAACUGCUGAAAGUAGAACAGCAAAGCAGGACUCAUUGGUGGUACCCAUUUUUCAAAUGUUUCAAGAUAGUGGUUCUCGGGAAAACUGGUCUUGGGAUCCAUCUCUCAAGAUUCGUCCUCAAGUAUUAAAUUUUGUUCAACAGCCAGGACACAGAUUGAUUGUUCUCUGGAGAGUAUUGUACAGAAAAACUUUAUGGUAUCAAACACAAUUAAGUCAAAGAGUUCCUGAAGAUGACAUACAGUUAACUGAAAGGAUGACACAUGAAACAUCUACUAUCAAGUCCCUGUUAUGUCAUAUACAGGCUAAAUUGCAGACUGCUGGAGUUCGCUUGAACCCGACCUUAGAACUUAAGUCUAUCAAUGGGGAAGAGUGUUUCCUACUAGGAGCAUAUGAAAAGUCUGUUGAACUAUGGAAGAAAGCUCUACAAGAAACCCAAGAGAAAGGAGGAAGAAGGACAUGUUUUCUUCAGAUACGCUAUUAUCUUUCCCUUUUAUACUGCCACCUCUAUAACUACAAUUUAAAUGAUGCUCAAGGAUUAUGUGAUCAGCUAGUAAGAGAAAUACUGAGAUGGUCCCACCUACCUGGAAAAGAAAAUGAAGAUGGUUCAGUUCCUGAGAAGUGUCAUUGUGCGUUUGGAGCACCUGGAGGUGUUCACCCUGAGGCGGCGCUGAGGGUCAUCCAGUCCAUGGCUCGCUUCAUGGCUGCCUACUUCACCAAUCAGCCGCUUUGCAUUCUGCCACCUCACAGUGUGAAUGUUCUUCCUCCCCUUCAUAUUAAAACAGAGCAGCCCUUUCGACGUAUUCCUCUGCAACACUCCAGGGUGGCCAGUGUUGUUAGAGAGCAGAAUCUUUCUCACGUGUGGACUGUCGAAUACGCCCUUGAACUGUUAUUUAUUGGUGGCCUGGUUCCAGAAGCUGUGUGGUUGGCACAUAAGCUUGGAGACUGGAAGACGUCUGUUUCCAUUGGUGUGGCCUUUCAACUGUUCUGUAAACAUGAUAGCAGUUUCACAAGGUCCAAGAAAAAGGGUCUGAAUCUACCAUUAAAUAUGACUCCAGCACAGAUUUUCCAGGAAAAACUGCAGUGCUUUUUAGGGCAGCCAGCCUCUUUGGAAGCAAAAAAUGAAAUGGGCUCAAAAUUCAAACAAUUUACAGACCCCAUUGAAGAGGAAGAUGCAGACCUGAUGUUUGGUUCUGUGCAGGAAGUACUGAAGGCAGCAGUUAUGGCUGAUGCAGAUGUUCUUUCAGAGACAUUUCAGCUUCUGAUACGCUCUGCCAAGGACUUCAGUAAGAGACUGUGGGGCUUAGUGCCAGUCGGCUUGUAUCUUCCAGCUCCUCCAUUAUAUUGUCCUCAGCCAGCGGUUCUUAGUGAAGAAGAUGGUGACGAUCUUCUUUUAAAAGCUGAAAAAGAUAAUCGCCAAAAGGUGUCUGGAAUCCUCCAACGUGUUCUCUUGCUUUUCCGGGCAGCUCGGUGUUCUUUUCCGGUAGCACAGUGGUACAUCUUGCAGUUGAGAUGGGCACGAAAAGUCAUGCAGAAGAUUCGAAUGAAAGGGUCCCUUCCUUCAUUGAGUCCUUUCCCUCAGUCAUUACUUAAUUACUGUAAAGGAGGUGUAGCAUUCUUUCGACCUGGAGCAACUGGAGACCACAAGCUUGAUGAAGUGUCCAUUAAAGCAAUAGGUUGCUUCAGAGAGCUUUGUGCUUUGUGUUGGAUGCUGCAUGUCCGUGAUAAGUUAUCCUAUAGUUGCAGGCAAUAUCAGAAGGCAAGAGAAAAUGUGGAGGGAAAAAAGGACCUCGAAGUGAAGUUUGAUUCUUGUAUGGUUGAGCACUGUCUCAGUGCAGUGGAAUGGGCUUGUAGAAUGCUACCCUUCUCUCGGUUUUCUAAUAUUGAAGAACUUAUUCAGGAUCUGAUUUUGAGUCUCAUUGGAGAACUGCCACCAAUCAGAAAGGUAGCAGAAAUUUUUGUGAAAGCAUUUCCCAAUCCUGAGGACAUAAGGGUUCCUUUAAGAGAAAAAUAUCACUCUCUUCAACAGAGACUCAGACACUGUGUUGUGAAAGGUCCCCAAACUGAGGAAAUGAUGUCUGUUAUCAUGCAUUCUGUCCAUAAAGUGAGGGUGAAAGCCCUGAAACGUGUGCAGAGAAAUAUAGGUUCUUUUGAGAUAAAUAUAUGGGAACCAAUUGAAGAAGAAAAACCAGCUGAGGUUCCAGCUUUUGACAGGUUUUCCCUGGGAACUAGUUUGAGCAGGAGCACACUCACAGAACUGGGGAAUUCUCUGGUCCACAGUGAUGCAGAUACAGCUGAUACCUUCUCAGAAGCUUUGUCAGCUGAAGAAAAAAGUAGGAUACAUUUGUAUCAAAGAAAUGCCCCAGAUCAGAUGGAAUUAACAUUGACUGGUAAACCCAAUGGAAAAAAGAAAAUAUAUAAUCAGGAGGAAAACUCUAAAAGAAAAGAAGAUCGUGAAAAGUUAUUACAAAAUGCACUUCCUGCAAUAGGUGUUUGGGAAUUUGAACGUGACGAUGAGGAGUACAUUAAAUUUCUUGAACUUUUCUUGAGUUAUGUUCUUGAAAGAGACCUCCUUGGUCCCAAGGAUGCUGGCAUUCCAUUUCUAACUAGCUUUUCCGGACAUCUUAGAGAGCAUGAACUUCAUUCUUUACUUUUUGAUGUACAUACAACAUUAAAGCGACGUCAGGGCAAAACCAAAAGUCAGAAUGUGUUUAGAGCUGGCUCCUGCUUUGUUGUUGCUUCCGAGUCACAUGAGUAUGAAAAAUCGGAAAACCAGACACUUUCAGCUUCUGUACUGGUUAAUCAAGGGAUCGGGCCUUUUGUAGAUAACCCUUUGAAUGAAGUCAAUAAAAAUGAAGGGAAGAGUGGGUUGUUUGGUUUAAAACAGAAGUCAAUUUACAGAAUACAAGAUGACAAUGCAGAGAAAACUUUAAUAGCGAGAUUGUCAGACCGUACGUUUUGCACUCCUAAGUCUAUGGAAACUAGAAGAUGUAUUUUCAAAGCAAUUCAAUGCAGUGAUAUUAACCCUCAAGAAGAUCUUCCUCUAGCACUAAAUAAUACAUUUGGCAGUAUAAGACGGUUGUUGGAAUGGAUGAUAAGAUGGUCUGAUAGGAGACUGCUCUAUGAUUCUGGUCUCACUGAGUCAUCUUGUGAGUACAGUCCCGUCAUUCGUGUAAAGACCUCUACAGCUGCCAUUCUUACAUCAUUGUGGCUUUUGAAACAACCCUAUUUUGCUGCAUAUAAGGCAAAAAAUGCCAUUAUUAAGGUGCUAGAGAAUAGUUGCCCUGGACCUCAGAAUGGGACCAAUAUAGAAAGUGAUUAUAAAACAGAUGCUGGCUGUUCCGUUGCAGUAUCCAUUCAAGGUGGGAUUGAGGAAAGAAAUGAUCAAAAUGAAUCUUGUCAAAGUAUCUUGAAUAGAAUGCCAAGUGAAAUAAAAAAUCCUGAAAUAAAAGGAACCAAUGAUGAGAUUAUUUCUGUCACUGAUGAUACUGAAAAAGAAUUUGUAGAUAUUGAUGAGGAUCUUUUAGAAGGAGAAACAUUUACACAGGAGGAAAUGGAUAUAUACCCAUCAGACUAUGAAGAGGAUGCCAAAGAACCUGUUGGAAGUGCUCAAAGUCCAUUUUACACGCAGAUGCAGACUUUACCACAGCAUUUAGAACAUUCCACAGGAGAGGUUCAGUGUCCAAGGGAAGAACCUUUGGAGACGUGUAUGGAGAAAAAAUCAACUGAACAGAAAUGUGCACCGGUCUCUGCAUGUAAAGACAAAUCUUCCUCAGCUUCACCUUUGGUAUCAAAUGGAGUCACUCUUGCUUCACAAACACCGGGACCAACAGCUCAGCCGACCCAGAGACACGAACCCAGGGCUCAGUUAUCACAUUCUUCCGAUUCUGUUAGGCAAAUGCUCCAAGAUGAAAUGUUUAAAUUAGUUCAGCUGCAACAGGUCAACUUCAUGAGCCUAAUGCAAAUAGUAGGAUCAUCCUUUGCUAACCUCCCGGAUAUACAUCAGCUUCUACAGCAGACUCAGUCUGUGCAUUUGGUGGGAAGCCAAGGGUCAAACCCCACAAGAGGGAGUAAUGGUAUUGAAGACACCAGUAGAAAUCUGAAGGAGAGAUUUUUUGUUAAACCACAAGCCAUGGGAGAGUAUGCCAGAGAGCCUGGCAAGAGCAGCCCACACUGGCAUAAAGAAACUGUGCAAUCUGGUGAAAACAGUAAUGGAAAUUUACAGAAUGUUCCACAUGGGAGUGUUCCUUUUUGUCAGUUAGAAGGCCAGCCCCAGAACAGAGGACUAACUACAGCAUCUCAAAGCUUAACAACCACUUCAUUGUCUCCAGCCCCUGCUGGAAAUACUCACCUCCACCUUUUGUCCACAUCUUCUGCCAUUCCGAAGACACCUAGACUUAUCUCCACUGCAAAAACUUUCAGACCUGGUGAUGGUUUUCCUUUGCUUCAAUUUCAGCCCAAGCCGGAAUUUAAACCCCUUUCCUUCCAUGCGGGAAGGGUUCCACAGGUUCCCUUCAGUCCUCCGCCACAGCCAAGAGAGGCUUGGGGAUUAUCUGAUAUCUUCCAACCUCCUUUGACAAAGAGAGCAAUGGACACUACUUCAAUGUCCCAUUUGAAUUUGAACCAGUAUAAUACUGAAGCCAUAAAAAAACCAGUUGAGGAGAAGAAAUGGGCAGAAACAAUAAUUACAGAAAUCCCUAAGCAUGUGAACUUGGAUCAGUAUGUUGGACAAGAAAACUUGACAUCUCAACAGGACUCUGCAACAUUUGUAAAACAAGAAAAGCUGUUUGAUGUAAAGCCAGGGCCCUUUGAGAUAUCUCCUCAGAAUUCCUUUGGACUUCCAUUAUUGCACCUGCAACUUAAACCUCCUUAUGUAUUUGCCUCUGCCUCAAGAGCAUCAGUUGCAGUUCCAUCAAUACCUAUUAGAUCUGUAAUAGAAGAAAGAAAAUACUCAAGACUGUCACUCCUUCAUUCAUGUCUAUCCCAAGAAAAUAUGUACCAAAAACCACAACUUAUUCCACUUGAAAACCUUAUUGCAUUUAAACAAAAGCAACAGAAAUUAACGCAUAAUUUAUUUGAACAAGGUGAUCCUGGACACCUCCAGCUUCUGAAGGUCAAAAUAGAAUCAUCCGAAUUGAGACAAGGAAAGGACAGUAAAAAAAGACAAAGACGACGAGCUGAAAAAGAGCUGCAAGAGAAAAGAUCAGAGAAACUAAGGAGAAAGCCAAGUGUGACUUUCCAAUCAGAGGAUUUCAUCAUUAAUGAUAAUGAUUCAGAAAUAGUUAUGAAACCCAAGGAGCAACAAGAACAGCCUGGUUCCCAGCAGCUGGAAGACUUCGACAUUUCUUUUGAAAAGCUCCAAGAUGAUAUUAAUACUUCAGCUGGAUUGCAUUUCAUGGCCUCUGUGAAAAAGAAAGCUAAAGAAUGUCAGGAUGCAAGUACAAAUACAGACCCAGGUAAAGAAGCCGCUUCUCAAGAAGUUGUUUCUGAAUGUCGUAAAAAUCAACAAAUCAUUUCUUCCACAUCAGAACAUGAAUCUUUGAAUGUUCCUCAACUUUUGGCUCCAGAUAUAUAUCUAAAUCUCAGACUUUCCACUGAAAUAUCAGAGAAACCUCUGUCACCUUCAGCAUCUGAAACGGUUGGACACACUUACAUAAAUGUGAUUGACAUUGAAGCUGGUGAUCUACAGGAGUUACCUGUCAGGGAAGAGCCUUCAGAUGACAGUGUUAUCAAGCAGCAAAGGGAUGGUCCAGAAGUCCCGUCUUCUGCAGAAUUACAUUACAUGGCCGCUUCAGCUAUGAACGCUGUUCCCCUGCACAGUUUUAAGAGUCAAGAAUCUGCCAAUUCCACCAUGGAUUUAUUUUUUAAACCUGCAAAAGUGUCUCCAUCUUGUCUGGAUGGAAGAAGCUGGAGAGCAGGCAUUACAGAAGUGAAGGAACCUGGCGUCACCUCACCUCCACCAUCAGACAUUCAGCAGGACCAAGAUACGCCGAAGGCAGAUUUUCGAUUCAAGGAACCAAGUUCAAAGUCCGAUACUGCAGAAGAUUAUCUGCUGUGGGAGCUACCGCAGGAUGUCUCUGCCACUCGUCCUGCGCCAAGCUCUGCAGCUCGCCGGCUAGAGCAUCUCACCUCAAAGCUUCAGAAAAUUGAUGAACAGCUGUUAGCAAUACAGAACAUUGCUGAAAACAUAGAGCAGAAUUACCCCAGACGCAUAAUACUAGACCAACAUUGUAUUAAGGUUGAACCUGUGGAUCACACUGAAUUGUCUUCUGGCCCUGAAUCUGAAAAAACGUUGCCUUCAAAAACCAUUGGCAUUUUUGAAGAAGCGCAUUUCCCGACUCAUAUGAAUAAAGAAGAUCAAAGGGACAUUGAAGAGAUUUCAGUAACGGAAACUCAUCCUAGUCGGCAAACCUGUGUGUUUCCUUCUGCUGAUUCAGCUGUCAGCCUUUCCAGUGACCAGAAUAUGACUUCUCCUGAUGGAAAAAGGGAAACUGCUGAGGACCAGCCUGUGAAAUGUCACCCAGUAGAGAACAAGGGGAGCCCCCUAGUGUGGAGAAUGGAUGAGCUGACUCUGGUGAAAGGAUUUUCAAGAAAAAGUGUGAAUAACGGUGAUGAAUUAUUUGAGAGUGUUUUAGUAGAUCCACUCCAGAUGAGUGAACUGACUGAUAUUGCAGACAUUAUCGAUGACCUUAUAACAAAAGAUGGCGUUUCCAGUGAAGAGCUUGGCUUAACGGAACAACAGGCUAGGAGCAUCUCCAGGAUUCCGCGUUCCUCUGGUAGACGUCCACAAAGAACUGAGAAGGAGAGAAGAGAGAUUCAAGUCUGGAUGAAAAGAAAACGAAAAGAAAGAAUGGCAGAGUACUUAAGUCAGCUGGCCGAGAAGAGAGGGCAAGAACACGACCCUUUCUGCCCCAGGAGCCACCCAUUUUACAUGACUUCAAGGGAAAUUAGGCUGAGACAAAAGAUGAAGCGCGAAAAAGACAGAUUGCUGCUCUCUGACCACUAUAGUCGUCGCAUCUCACAAGCGUACAGCCUGAUGAAUGAACUGUUAUCUGAAUCAGUACAGCUUCCAGCAACUGCACAGAACCCAUUGCCUAACAAACCCAGAUCUGCUCAAAUUCCCAGAAGGCAACGCUCCCUUUCUCCAAGAGGAGAGAAUCGACACGGGCAGAAUUUUCCACUACAUAGACCUGGAAACGUCAGCCACAUAUCCACCAAAUCAAGUUAUACCCAAAAGGGGAGACCUUCUGGGCAACCUCAUUGCUCACCUUGGCCACGUGGAACUGCUACUUUUACCAGACAGAGGAAAGCUGGUGGAGCCAAAGUGGCGGCAAGAAAGGCUGUGCCGUCACCAGAUUCAUCUUUGAGUUUACACAUCACAUCUCUCUUCAGCUGUGUCUAUCUGCUGUUUAACUCAUUUAUCAACUUUUAAUGUUGAUGGCUAAACCUUCUAGAAAUUCUCCUUGGUCCUUUCCAUACUUUCCCCCCACUGUAUGCAUUAAAACCCAAGCCUCUAGUUAUUAGAGGCCUAGAAGCAUCGUUUCCUAUGCUUUUAAUCUUAUAAUCCCAGGCCAGUCUUUUUCUUUCAGAGUCUCUCAUUUUAAUCUUUUGUAAGCUAUUUUCUAGUUUAGAGUACCCCAUAGCUUUUUAUUCUUUCUGAGCAAAUAUUGAACAAUGUUUGUUUUAAUAGAUAAAAUGCCCCAAAAUACAGUGUUACUCCUAAAAACAGCUGUACCUUUGUAUUGUAUUUUGAAAGCUCCAGAGACCCAGGGUUUUGUGUUCUUGAAGUGAUACGAUCUAGCAUGAGACCUUGUCCAUAGAAAGGCAAAGAGAAGUAUUUCUUUCGUUAUCCAGGGAUAGCCCUGCCUCUGAGACUGUGACUUCAGGUUUCUAGCUUGGGUGUGUGUCUAGACUGUGGCCUAAUAAUUGACACAGGUAGUGCAAGAGGAGAGGCAGGGUUUUAUUCUGGGGGAGGUGGAGCUGAUGGAUUUAGUGUACUGUUCAGUUUCGGUUCCUCAGGCGAGACUACGUGCAGUUGUUUGGCAAUAAAGAAACUGAGAGGCAGCAUCCGCUCUCCUGCGGAGAAAGAAGCUGCUUUAAGGGGAUGCUGGUGCAUUUGCCCACUAGUUUGCACUGUGGGGUUUCUUCCUGAUACAUCACUUACCUUUGACCUUAGAAAGCUUUCCCUGGCCACACUGGGGCAGGAGCACCGCACCUGCAGAAGCUUUGCACAUGCUCCGUUUUACAGAAUUUAUUUCCUAUUGUAUUUUUAUCUCAAAAUUGGAUAUCCCAAAUAAAUCUAGAGAAAUGCACUUGAAUCUGAAGUGUAGGAAAUUACCAAGCCAUCCCUGCUGUAAAGCAAGGUGAGAGAAAGCCAUUGAUAGCUUCUCAAGUUUUGUAGAUACACCACAGGUAAAGGUUUACCCUAAAAUGUAGGCUUAUUAAAACUUGGUAUCAGCAGACUUGGUGAUGAUGUGUCAUUCUUUCUAGAUGGCAGUAAUUAUGUUCAUUUGACUAAACAAGAGUAUUAAAGACUAGAUGCCAAAUUAAUUGUAGCGGAGAUAGGGGUGGGAUUAUUAGUGGUCACAGUCUUUGCUAAUCUCUUAUCAUACCUAGAAGACUUGAAGGAACAAGUUCAGAGCCCCGCCUCCAUUGUUUGCAUCUACUCUGGAGAGACAGGCUACCCCUGUACCCACAAUACUGCUUGACUACCUGCUGGUUUCUUUUUCUUUUUUUUAGUCCUCAGUCUCAACCUUUUCUGUUUUACCAGCUCUUUUUUUUUUUAAACUCAGUGUGUUCACAUGUGCAUUCCGAUUGUCCAUUCAUAGAUAUUUUUUCUUCACAGUUUUAAAAAAAAAUUGUUCCUUAGUAACAUUUACUGAAAUAAUUAUUUUAACAUGGAACUUUCAAUCACAUCCCCAAAUACCUAGUGAUGUCUUUAAAUAGCAGGAAAAAAAGUCAACCUUUUUUCAGCUAGAGCACAGCUCUCACAUUGGAUUCUAAAGUGGUGACCACAGGUGCUGUGGAAUGAUGUGAACUUUAUUUCUUUCUGUUUCAAACUCUAAUCAAGGGUCGGAAACAGAAGAAUCCCUAAGGAUCCCCUAAGCCACCCUUCUCCCUAUAAUCCAGGAAGCAAGCUAUUGGAAAGCUGCUGCCUUGGGGAUCCAGAUUAAUAGAACCAUUUCUUACUUACAGAUGUGAAGAGUAUCCAAAAGGGCCCUCCAAGUACUAUUCUCCUCUCACCCUAAAGAACAGGAAGUUAACGUAUUAGCUCAGGUUCUAGGCAUAGAGAUUCUCUCUCACCUUGGGCAAAUUACAUAACCUCUCUAAGCCUCACCUUCCUCAUCUGCAAAAUGGGGAUAGUAACCCUUCUCCCAUAGGACUUUCUUGAAGAAUAUUCACUCUGUAGCAGUCCAUUGAGUCCUGCUACUUACCAGACACUGUUAGGAACAACACAGACAGUAGCACAAAGAAUAAGAUAUGGGAGACCUUGAAGGUCUCUUUGAGAAGGUGUCAUUGGAAUGAAGAUGCUGAAUGAUGAAAAGGGGGUUGUCAUGUAAAGAUAAAGAAGAACAGUUCCAGACGGAGAGAAGAGCAAGUUCAAAGCCCUGCUACAGAGGCAGUUUUGGUGUGACAGAGGAGAUCAGUGUGGGAACAUGGCCAGAGAACAGGAGUUGCUAGAAUCCUAAAGCCAACCAUAACCAGACCUUGCGUUUCAGAUAUUAGGCGCUAAUGCUCCCUGUCUGCAGUGUACAAAAAAUCACAGAAGUACUGGGCUUGCACCUCAAACCAAGGAG